AUACGACCACAUCACGUUGAAACAUCGGUUCCCGUGCGAUUACAGAAGUUAAACACCGUCGAGUUUGGUCAUUACCUAGAUGGGUGACUGUUUGGGAAUUCCAGGUGUUGCAAG